rnacentral:rRNA from 1 species
GGAAUUACUGGGUGUAAAGGGAGCGCAGGCGGGAAGACAAGUUGGAAGUGAAAUCCAUGGGCUCAACCCAUGAACUGCUUUCAAAACUGUUUUUCUUGAGUAGUGCAGAGGUAGGCGGAAUUCCCGGUGUAGCGGUGGAAUGCGUAGAUAUCGGGAGGAACACCAGUGGCGAAGGCGGCCUACUGGGCACCAACUGACGCUGAGGCUCGAAAGUGUGGGUAGCAAACAGGAUUAGAUACCCUGGUAGUCCACACCGUAAACGAUGAUUACUAGGUGUUGGAGGAUUGACCCCUUCAGUGCCGCAGUUAACACAAUAAGUAAUCCACCUGGGGAGUACGACCGCAAGGUUGAAACUCAAAGGAAUUGACGGGGGCCCGCACAAGCAGUGGAGUAUGUGGUUUAAUUCGACGCAACGCGAAGAACCUUACCAAGUCUUGACAUCCUGCGACGCACAUAGAAAUAUGUGUUUCCUUCGGGACGCAGAGACAGGUGGUGCAUGGUUGUCGUCAGCUCGUGUCGUGAGAUGUUGGGUUAAGUCCCGCAACGAGCGCAACCCUUACUGUCAGUUACUACGCAAGAGGACUCUGGCAGGACUGCCGUUGACAAAACGGAGGAAGGUGGGGAUGACGUCAAAUCAUCAUGCCCUUUAUGACUUGGGCUACACACGUACUACAAUGGCGUUAAACAAAGAGAAGCAAGACCGCGAGGUGGAGCAAAACUCAAAAACAACGUCUCAGUUCAGAUUGCAGGCUGCAACUCGCCUGCAUGAAGUCGGAAUUGCUAGUAAUCGUAGGUCAGCAUACUACGGUGAAUACGUUCCCGGGCCUUGUACACACCGCCCGUCAAACCAUGAGAGUUGGCAACACCCGAAGCCGGUAGUCUAACCGCAAGGAGGACGCCGUCGAAGGUGGGGUCGAUGAUUAGGGUUAAGUCGUAACAAGGUAGCCGUAUCGGAAGGUGCGGCUG